rnacentral:tRNA from 1 species
GCGGUUGUAGCUCAGCUGGAUAGAGCAUUCGCCUUCUAAGCGAAGUGUCGCAGGUUCGAGUCCUGCCCACCGCG